UACGGAGGGGGCGAGCGUUAUUCGGAAUUAUUGGGCGUAAAGGGCGCGUAGGCGGCUUGAUGUGUCAAAGGUGAAAUCCCUCGGCUCAACUGAGGAACUGCCUUUGAAACUGUCUGGCUUGAGGCCAGGAGAGGGUAGCGGAAUUCCCAGUGUAGCGGUGAAAUGCGUAGAUACUGGGAGGAACACCGGUGGCGAAGGCGGCUACCUGGACCGGUUCUGACGCUGAUGCGCGAAAGCGUGGGUAGCAAACAGG
rnacentral:rRNA from 1 species